rnacentral:rRNA from 1 species
UACGUAGGGUGCGAGCGUUAAUCGGAAUUACUGGGCGUAAAGGGUGCGCAGGCGGUUAUAUAAGACAGAUGUGAAAUCCCCGGGCUCAACCUGGGAACUGCGUUUGUGACUGUAUGACUAGAGUACGGUAGAGAGGGGUGGAAUUCCUGGUGUAGCAGUGAAGUGCGUAGAUAUCAGGAGGAACAUCGAUGGCGAAGGCAGCCCCUUGGACCUGUACUGACGCUCAUGCACGAAAGCGUGGGGAGCAAACAGG